rnacentral:rRNA from 1 species
AGAGUUUGAUCCUAGCUCAGGAUGAACGCUGGCGGCGUGCCUAAUACAUGCAAGUCGAGCGAACGGACGAGAAGCUUGCUUCUCUGAUGUUAGCGGCGGACGGGUGAGUAACACGUGGAUAACCUACCUAUAAGACUGGGAUAACUUCGGGAAACCGGAGCUAAUACCGGAUGAUAUUUUGAACCGCAUGGUUCAAAAGUGAAAGACGGUCUUGCUGUCACUUAUAGAUGGAUCCGCGCUGCAUUAGCUAGUUGGUAAGGUAACGGCUUACCAAGGCAACGAUGCAUAGCCGACCUGAGAGGGUGAUCGGCCACACUGGAACUGAGACACGGUCCAGACUCCUACGGGAGGCAGCAGUAGGGAAUCUUCCGCAAUGGGCGAAAGCCUGACGGAGCAACGCCGCGUGAGUGAUGAAGGUCUUCGGAUCGUAAAACUCUGUUAUUAGGGAAGAACAUAUGUGUAAGUAACUGUGCACAUCUUGACGGUACCUAAUCAGAAAGCCACGGCUAACUACGUGCCAGCAGCCGCGGUAAUACGUAGGUGGCAAGCGUUAUCCGGAAUUAUUGGGCGUAAAGCGCGCGUAGGCGGUUUUUUAAGUCUGAUGUGAAAGCCCACGGCUCAACCGUGGAGGGUCAUUGGAAACUGGAAAACUUGAGUGCAGAAGAGGAAAGUGGAAUUCCAUGUGUAGCGGUGAAAUGCGCAGAGAUAUGGAGGAACACCAGUGGCGAAGGCGACUUUCUGGUCUGUAACUGACGCUGAUGUGCGAAAGCGUGGGGAUCAAACAGGAUUAGAUACCCUGGUAGUCCACGCCGUAAACGAUGAGUGCUAAGUGUUAGGGGGUUUCCGCCCCUUAGUGCUGCAGCUAACGCAUUAAGCACUCCGCCUGGGGAGUACGACCGCAAGGUUGAAACUCAAAGGAAUUGACGGGGACCCGCACAAGCGGUGGAGCAUGUGGUUUAAUUCGAAGCAACGCGAAGAACCUUACCAAAUCUUGACAUCCUUUGACAACUCUAGAGAUAGAGCCUUCCCCUUCGGGGGACAAAGUGACAGGUGGUGCAUGGUUGUCGUCAGCUCGUGUCGUGAGAUGUUGGGUUAAGUCCCGCAACGAGCGCAACCCUUAAGCUUAGUUGCCAUCAUUAAGUUGGGCACUCUAAGUUGACUGCCGGUGACAAACCGGAGGAAGGUGGGGAUGACGUCAAAUCAUCAUGCCCCUUAUGAUUUGGGCUACACACGUGCUACAAUGGACAAUACAAAGGGCAGCGAAACCGCGAGGUCAAGCAAAUCCCAUAAAGUUGUUCUCAGUUCGGAUUGUAGUCUGCAACUCGACUACAUGAAGCUGGAAUCGCUAGUAAUCGUAGAUCAGCAUGCUACGGUGAAUACGUUCCCGGGUCUUGUACACACCGCCCGUCACACCACGAGAGUUUGUAACACCCGAAGCCGGUGGAGUAACCUUUUAGGAGCUAGCCGUCGAAGGUGGGACAAAUGAUUGGGGUGAAGUCGUAACAAGGUAGCCGUAUCGGAAGGUGCGGCUGGAUCACCU